rnacentral:tRNA from 1 species
AGCUAAUUAUCUUAGAAAGAAGUGUACCUUGAAAGUACAAACAUAAAGGUUAAAUUCCUUUAUUAGCUU